ensembl:lncRNA
GCUAUAUACAGGUGGUACCGGUAACAAGUCAAUAUGUAGAGGGUACAAGUUAGUCGAGGUAAUUGAGGUAAUAUGUACCUUUAGCUAGAAGCUGCUUGGCUUUUGCAGUAAAAUAGUAGCCCAUCUUCCUUCCUAUCAACACGCUCAAACAGAGGAUGGGGAUAAACAGUUCCUGCUAUGGGGUCAGCGAUGCCUGAGGCAAGGGAAGCAAACCAGUUCCUGCUAUGGAGUCAGCGAUGCCUGAGGCAAGGGAGGCAAACCAGUUCCUGCUAUGGAGUCAGCGAUGCCUGAGGCAAGGGAGGCAAACCAGUUCCUGGUAAAAAAAUAAAAAUAAAAAAUUUAAAAAACGACUCCGUAAAAGAGGGAAACGAGGCGGUCUUCUGGUCAGACUCCGGAGACGGGCACAUCGUGCACCACUCCCUAGCAUUCUUCUCGCCAAUGUCCAGUCUCUUGACAACAAGGUUGAUGAAAUCCGAGCAAGGGUAGCAUUCCAGAGGGACAUCAGAGACCGUAACGUUCUUUGCUUCAUGGAAACAUGGCUCACUGGAGAGACGCUAUCGGAGGCGGUGCAGCCAGCGGGUUUCUCCACGCAUCGCGCCGACAGAAACAAACAUCUUUCUGGUAAGAAGAGGGGCGGGGGCGUAUGCCUUAUGGCUAACGAGACGUGGUGUGAUCACAGAAAUAUACAGGAAGUCAAAUCCUUCUGUUCACCUGAUUUAGAAUUCCUCACAAUCAAAUGUCGACCGCAUUAUCUACCAAGAGAAUUCUCUUUGAUUAUAAUCACAGCCGGAUAUAUUGCCCCCCAAGCAGACACAUCGAUGGCUCUGAACGAACUUCAUUUGACUGUUUGCAAACUGGAAUCUAUAAAUCCUGAGGCUGCAUUCAUUGUAGCUGGGGAUUUUAACAAGGCUAAUCUGAAAACAAGACUCCUUAAAUUGUAUCAGCAUAUCGAUUGCGCAACUAGGGCUGAAAAAAACCUUGGAUCAUUGUUACUCUAACUUCCGCGACGCAUAUAAGGCCCUGCCCCGCCCUCCUUUCGGAAAAGCUGACCACGACUCCAUUUUGCUGAUCCCUGCCUACAGACAGAAACUAAAACAAGAAGCUCCC